rnacentral:piRNA from 1 species
UCCUUGUCCUGGACCAGCCUGAUGAUGUCCUC